rnacentral:tRNA from 1 species
AGCGGGGUGGGCUAGCCUGGUUUAUGCCGCAGGGCUCAUAACCCUGAGACCGUUCGUUCAAAUCGAACCCCCGCUACCA